rnacentral:sRNA from 1 species
CUUCAUCAAUCUGCUGAGGACAGAUGAAGUGAAUGUGUGCAUCGAUCCCUCCCGCAGUUGUAAUCAUGCCCUCUCCAGCUAACACUUCUGUUGAAGCUCCAACUACAAUAUCGACUCCAUCCAUAAUAUUUGGGUUGCCAGAUUUGCCGAUACCAACAAUCUGCCCAUCACGAAUGCCAAUAUCUGCUUUCACAAUACCCCAAUGAUCUAGUAUUAAGGCAUUAGUAAUAACUAAAUCAACGGCUCCAUUGGCUCGCGUGGCGUCUGGUGCUUGCCCCAUCCCAUCACGCAAAG